rnacentral:rRNA from 1 species
UACGUAGGUGACCAGCGUUGUCCGGAUUUACUGGGCGUAAAGAGCGCGCAGGCGGUCGUUCAAGUCGAGUGUGAAAGCCCCCGGCUCAACUGGGGAGGGUCAUUCGAUACUGAUCGACUCGAAGGCAGGAGAGGGAAGCGGAAUUCCCGGUGUAGUGGUGAAAUGCGUAGAUAUCGGGAGGAACACCAGUGGCGAAGGCGGCUUCCUGGCCUGUUCCUUGGUAC